AGAUGAUUUAAUUGCCCCUUUUAAAAAAUAUGGAUGCAUCGACAUGGAAGAAGAGAUAAAAAGAUAAUUCUCACUACAGACUGGGUGCUGUAGUAUCCUAAAUAAGGGAUGAAAGUCCCACAGCAUACGUGGCUUCCCUAGCUCAUGUGAUUUUCCAUACAGCCACUCAUCUUUGUGUCUGUACUUGCUUAACCAUGCCACACAAGUGUACCCUGCUUCCUUGCAGCUCUAUUUUUUGGCUGGAGCUUUCUUCCCAUGACCUGAAAUAAAUCUGCUGCUCCAUACUUGGGGAAAAACAGUUAAGGUUAAGUAUAUUUGGCAGUAUAGAGUAUCCAGUAAGUAAACAUUGUGUGUGUGUGUGUGUGUGUGUGUGUGUGUGUGUUUAUAUAUAUAUAUAUAUAUAUUAUAUAUAAUCAUCACAUCCAGACACCUUUAGUUCCUGUUACAACCAACCGCCUACCAAGUUUAGUCAAUCCUCACCUACAUUAAGGCUCUCAAUCCACAAUGAAAUGUAAUGAAAUGCUGAACUUGUUCCAUGUUUUUGUCCUAGCAAAUCGCAUCAUGCUUACAUAAUUGUAGUCUGCGGGCCUGAUUAAACCUGUUCACGUUGAAUUGUUCCAUCAGCAUUCACUGAACUUUAGAACAGACUGCAUAGCAAGGACAGAAAUGUAUUUUUAAAGUUAAUUUCCACUGUUCCCUAAAGGCUUCACAGCUUCAUGUCUAUGAAGGUUACUGGCUGUAAGGACAAGUUACAUCCACGUGUAGUCUGGGAACCGCCAGUAUUUUGAUUAUUCUUGGUAUGACUGUGGCCCUGGGAGUCAAAGCAUACUGAUAACUGCAUCUAUAAAAAGGAGCUCUAAAGCUUGCUGCAUAGCACUGCAGCUGCCUGGAGAAUCAACAUUACCCGUGGAAACCUCUGCAGUAGGGUUUCUGCACCCAGCUGCCAACCUCCAGCUGCGUCACAAAAGAAGGCUCAAGGCUCCCCUGGGGUUCAAGCAGCUGAGGAGUCGAGGAUCAGAGAGUGUGUGUGAAUCACUCAAGAAGCAAUGAUUUUCCUCCACUGUGAAAAUCUGUCAUUCAGGCCUUCACUCAAGAAAAAAAAGGUGGUUUCUCUCUCCAGCUCCAGUGUCCAACUCUGAAACCCACCCAAGUCUUAGAGCCUUCCAAGGUGCAUCUCAGAGUUGCUGAUCCAGAAGAAGAUCCAGAAGAAGCAGUGCUGGGAAGAUCUAGUGCUCCUCCUAGCCAGAAAGAUCCAGUCUCUGCUUGAAGGAACUGACUGUCUCCUGUGAGAUAUAAUACAUGUGGCUGCUCUGUCUCUCACAUGGCAUUUCUUUGCUUGUGUUACAAAAAGUAGAGGUGGAGGCUAUACAUUAAAGCAAGUAUAUCAUAAACAUGGAGGUGUAGUCACAGUUUUACUUCACAUCUG
rnacentral:lncRNA from 1 species